rnacentral:rRNA from 1 species
AUAUCAAUAAGCGGAGGAAAAGAAACCAACAGGGAUUGCCCCAGUAACGGCGAGUGAAGCGGCAACAGCUCAAAUUUGAAAUCUGGCCCCUAGGGCCCGAGUUGUAAUUUGCAGAGGAUGCUUUUGGCGCGGCGCCUUCCGAGUUCCCUGGAACGGGACGCCAUAGAGGGUGAGAGCCCCGUCUGGUCGGACGCCAAGCCAGUGUAAAGCUCCUUCGACGAGUCGAGUAGUUUGGGAAUGCUGCUCUAAAUGGGAGGUAUAUGUCUUCUAAAGCUAAAUAUUGGCCAGAGACCGAUAGCGCACAAGUAGAGUGAUCGAAAGAUGAAAAGCACUUUGAAAAGAGGGUUAAACAGUACGUGAAAUUGUUGAAAGGGAAGCGCUUGUGACCAGACUUGGGCCCGGUGAAUCAUCCAGCGUUCUCGCUGGUGCACUUCGCCGGGCUCAGGCCAGCAUCAGUUCGCCGCGGGGGAUAAAAGUUUCGGGAACGUGGCUCCCUCGGGAGUGUUAUAGCCCGUUGCACAAUACCCUGCGGUGGACUGAGGUUCGCGCUCCGCAAGGAUGCUGGCGUAAUGGUCAUCAGCGACCCGUCUUGAAACACGGACCAAGGAGUCGUCUUCGUAUGCGAGUGUUCGGGUGUCAAACCCCUACGCGUAAUGAAAGUGAACGCAGGUGAGAGCUUCGGCGCAUCAUCGACCGAUCCUGAUGUUCUCGGAUGGAUUUGAGUAAGAGCAUACGGGGCCGGACCCGAAAGAAGGUGAACUAUGCCUGUAUAGGGUGAAGCCAGAGGAAACUCUGGUGGAGGCUCGCAGCGGUUCUGACGUGCAAAUCGAUCGUCAAAUAUGGGCAUGGGGGCGAAAGACUAAUCGAACCUUCUAGUAGCUGGUUUCCGCC